AAGUUAAACCUAUAUCACAUUCACAUGGUAUCUGUAGUAGUUCAUCUUCAUUUACUUUCUUUGCAAUUACGGAAAGUAUCGGGCCCACGAUGAGGAGUAUAAUCGUUUAAUCUGACAGCGUGAGGUUUAUAACCUUUCUUCCAAAUUUUGUUCUUAUGGCAUAUUUGAGAUCGAUGUUUUUCGAGAAUCGCUCGUUUUAAGGAUAAAACGACUUCUGAGUGGU